rnacentral:lncRNA from 1 species
AAUGAUCACGUUUUAUUAUUCACUUGGAGAUCAAUAAAUACACCCCCACAGCUACUGAAAGCUCAAUCAAAACACACAACUCAUAAAAUCCAAAUUAAAUUUCUUCUUUUUUCCAUACACAGAAGCAUAAUGCACCAAAACAUACAACAAAAAAAAAAAAUCCAAGAGACUUAGAUUGGUUUUUAGAUGCUCUUUGACCAAAGCAACAGGGGAGAGAAUUCCGGAGCCAGCCACCUCAGAGCAGUGUAUUUUGUCAGCAGUGCUCUCUCCUCUCUCAAGGAGAAUCCAACCCUCUUCCCAAAGGAAGAAGGGAAUCAGUUCAGGAGAUUGGGGAGCAGCCUUGCAUAAACUUACCAUAGAAAUAAAGAAGUGUAAAACAGACCCUUUAACACAAACAUUUUAAAAUUAUGGACUAGCUGACAGAGGCCACUUAACAGAAAAACCCAACAACAAACCCAAACAAAACAAACCCUAUAACAACAACAACAAAAACCCCAAACCAAAUAAAAAGAACAAACCAGGACAUCUGGAGAAAGAGGAAAGGUGUAGGUAAUAUUUUAUCACACAUUUCAUCCAGAAAAAUAAAGCAAAACUAUUCCAAAAGACUGCUGCAAAUUUUAAAAACAAAUAAAUAAAAUUCUAAUGGAUGCUGAGUAUAUGCAGUAGGGACCAUGCAUGAACAGAGAGUUGAUGCUUUAAACAGGUUUUUCUGUUAGAGGUUCAUUCAAAGCAGACAAUUUUAAAUAAGAAUAAAUAAAAUAAAAAAAUAAUAAAAUUGUGGAAAUAAAAAUAAGGAGAACUCUGUAGAGGAAAAUACUUGUCUCUCACAGGAUCAAAAAUGAAAACAGUAUUAAUCACAUGCCCCUAGAGAAUUUGAUAUUAAGCACUACUCAUGACAAAAGAAAAAAAAAAAAAGUAAUUCAAAUAUAUUUCAACUAUGAUAUACACCCAUUAAGAUUCUUAUCUCUCAAAUUUUACAUCUCUGCUUUCUUUCCUCAGCAAAAUCAGAAAAUGGCUUAUGAGGAAGAAUGGAAGGUUAAAAAAGCAAAUCAAAUGGAAUUGCAGCAGGCAGGUAAAAAUCAAGCCAUGCUUGGAGCCAGGACAACUUUUUGAAUGGAUUUACAUUACUGCUUAAGUGAAGUACUUUGCCAUGAUUUUGGACAGAUCUGCUGAGGAGUGCAUUCCCAAAGCCAAGCAGAAGAUGCAUAGUUACCCAGAAAAUAAAGAGUGAUCCUAAUUUGUCCACAGUAAUGAAGCUGUCAUCCUACUAAAUGCAAACAUUUCUAUUUUUUGGUGAAAAGACACUUUUUUAAAAUUUUAACAUGCUUCUAAACUUCAUGCUUUUCUGCUGAGUUUACGCAACUUGCAUCAGCAGACUCACACAGCUCAUUUGCAAUAUUUGGCAAACCAGGCUGAUGCCUAAGAACUCUCCUUUCUGUUUGAGGCAAAGAAUGUGAUUUUCUUCUAACUGCACAGAGAAACGAGGUACAGCCAUUAGUCAGACACCUGCAGUCAGUGCAAGAAACAAGAAAGCAACAGUAGCAAAAUCAUUCUACUUUUUUAUAAUAAAUCUGGAAUAGCCAAACUGUCCUUAACCAGAGGGAUAAAACCACACAGAGCUGAAGGCUCCAUCCCCCUUUGGAUGAAACAGUUGAUAAAAACAUUGCAGUGGCAAUGCCAUUCUGUUCCUAGCAGCACCUGGGACAAUGCUGUUGAGGGAUUCCCCAUUUCAGUUCCUCCAGGAAGGUGUUGUGUCUCCAAACCAGUCGGACUCAUCUCUUCCAGAAGCCCUGGUGACACGCAGACAGUAGCUCUCACCCUGCACCGUGAGCGUGGCCCCCGUUCCCAUCUCCCCUCCACUCCCAGCUCAUCCCUUUCUGCAGAUCCAUAGGGAUGCCUGCACCCCCUCCCCUUCCCAGCCUGUGCUGCAGGUACAGCAAAGGGACAGUUUGUUCAGGGAAGCCUCUCCCUCCCAGAGCUGCUCCCUGGCUUCCACUGAACUUCCCCAGCAGAACCAGCCUGCCUUGAAACUCUCCUCCAAUUCCCAGUGCAGACACAUGUCUUUGGAAAAGAGGUUUUCCUGAGUAAAUAUUGCACAUAUGUUGCUUAAAAACCAGUUCUCACUGCAAAGAACACAAAUACUAAUUUAGGGAUACGUUUCUGUUUUAUCAAACCCAAUAUCUGCUUUCAAAAACCAUGAUUCCCCUCCUACCAGGCUGCUGACCAAUAUAUUCUGUUUCUUUUCACUGAAACUCACAAUCAUGCUGCGUUUUCCUGUGGAGAUGAAAAUUGGAAAAUAGGUGUACAGGUUUAUUCUGUCAUCUUGACAAUCUGAUUUUGCCUUCUGAUGUUUUAAUCCACUUUCCAUACUUUCAACACCAACAACUUCUGACAAACUUUUACUCACCCUUGCAGAUAACAUCCUCAUAAGUGACCUUACAUUUGUCAGAGGCUUGGAACAUGAACUUAUUUCCUUUUAUCACUCUGUACUAAAAAGGAAGAAAAUGAACCAUUAUUAUAAAGGGCUUUCCUCUCCUCCCUUUUAAUUCUCCUUAGGAAUAACAGUUGCCUUUCAUUUUAUCUUUUCCCUCUCAACUACAGGUACAAUCCUAUUGUAUCACUUGCUGAUGCCUUUAAGCAUACAAUUUCAGCUCAAAUGCAUUCCUCAAAUCAAUGAAAAUGAAUUAAAUUAGUACCUGCAGGCAAAAGAAAUUAAAUAAAAUGUACAAUAACACAAGUUUUAAAUGUUCUUCUCUGUUCAAAAAGAGUAAUAUUCACUGGCUGAUAUUCAAAUAAACAAUUCUGUGCCACUAAAAUGAAAUAUCCAUAUCUUCAUUUUUUUUCUUUUUAAAAUUUAAGAUUUUUUUCAGUGUUCCAAUAGAAAAAGGUAACAAUCUAUUCUCCUACAGAGAAAAGUAAGAUAGAGGACCUUCAUAUGUGUUUGAAAUAAUUACAUCACUGACAAAAAGACUGGUUUUCUAGGAGCUAAAAGUGAAUUUCUUCCUUCACCCACAGAAGAAAACAAAAUCUGUGGAAAAAGCAAUCCAUGUUAAGCUAUCACUAUGGUAUUUUUAGGAGCAAGAAUUGUACACAUCCUGGUCUCUGCUUGGAGCACGAGUAAGGAUUUCAGUUUCUGAUACAAUUAUCUUCAAGAAGCAAGGCUGAGCACACACCCACAUUUAAAAUGAGAUGGUGAAUGUUCAGUAACACUGUCACCUGUGAUUUUCCUAGAUGAAAUUAGGAUUUGUGCCAGUUAUUAUUGCUAAAUGUUCAGCACCACCUCCAACAUCCCUGCUUACAGAAUCUGAACUAUGUGUUAUAAACCUUUUCUAUCUAAACCACAAUCAAAUAAACCUACCUUGAUUCAAAAAUAAGAUUCACUGCAUUAGCAGUUCCUUAUAAAGAGAAAUAAAUUGUGGAAAUGAACCUUUUGACUAGUACUAUGUGCACAGCACUGUGUGGUAGCCAUAAAUCCAAGAGGAAGAAAUUAUUUCAGGAAGUAACAGGGCUGCAUUAGUGCCAUGAAUGCACGGACUCCUAGUCUAAAUCAGGCAGGAGUCCCAAGGGAUAUGUCACAGUUCCCUCUUUCUUCUUCCAAAUUAAAGUAAAAAGGGUUUAAGCACCUGCUAGAAUUAAUUUUUCCUUUGAAAAAUAAGGAAUUUUAGAAUACAGGACAAAAAUAAGAACAAAACAGCUUUCAGACUUGCUUUCCUUUGCUUCGUUCUGCCUAAGGCCUACCUGAUUAGCUUGUUCAGCCCCAGGCACUAAGGGCCUCAUGAUUUUUCCAGUAUUAACGAGGAACAUUCCAGAUGAGACAGGCAGACAAAGUAAUUUGCCCAAGCUGCCCUCAAGCCCACGGAUUUUUCAAACUCCAGCCUAACUCCAUGACCAACAGCCCAUCCCUGGCUUUGCAGUAGCUGAGAACCCAGAGCACAUUUCAAAACCUCAUGUGGAGUUUGACUGCAGCCCAGCUAAUGCUGCCUCCAAGAGAACUCAUCCUGUGAGCGUGGGGGAGCCUGGGGCUGCCAGGCUGAGCUGUGCCAGCUGCCCAGAGCCCCGGGCAGGGCUGGCAGCUCCCCGUGCCCAGAAUCCAUCCCUGGUGCUGGGAGGAACCAAACCCGCAUCCUGCCCAAAGGGACACCUGCUACAGGCAGGCCCAGAUGAAACCUCAGCCCUGGAAGGCCUUCCUUUGGAAUUGGAAAAGGAUGGGUUUUGUGGGCAGCUAUUUUUAAAUUUUUCCUUUCAAAUACCCGUGAAAGCAUCUACUAAUUUCAGAUGAUGUCACGCAUAGAAAGUGAGUGAGCACACUUCUUUUUUCCCUAAGAUUUGAAACAGACUAAAAAGAAUAAUUAUUUCCUCUUAUUUUUUAAUGAGAAUUGCCAGCCCCUCAGCAGGUGGAAGGACAUUGCCUGCAGGAGCUUUUUUGUUGGCUAAAAACUUGGUUCAUAUAAUCAGCAUGGUAAUUAGCAAGCUCUUUGCUAUUAAAAGGAACUCAUUACUGCUAUAUUUUGCUGAUUGAUCCAUACUCAUGAAGUAAUUUAAAAAUGUAAAAAGCAUUUUGUGAGCCACUUAAAAUCUUCAAUAUGAAUAUUGAGACAAUGUAACUGACAGUUGUCUUUGACUAAACUUCAAUCUGUAAUUCUUUAGCCAUUCAAGCAAACUCACGGGGAACUGGAAAAUGAAAAUAAUUUGCUAAAGUCAUAUAUAGUUCGCUGCUACUUGUCAGAAUUCCCUUGCAAGGGAUGGGGCCUUUGUAUCAAGGACAUGCUCACCUCAGUUUCUGUGACAUUUUUAGAGCAAUCAAAGAGGCCAAGCUCCCACAGAACUCGUUGGAGUCACUGGAUUGCCCCGGCUGACUCUGCCCUUGCUGCCCUUUGGCCUCAGGGCUCGUGGGAGGCUGCCCUGCCCAUGGAGCCACAUCAGGACAUGGCCCUCCGAGCGGCCAUGGGAAGGGGAAAUCACCUCUACUCGAAAUUCAUGCUUAGCAUAGAUCUCAAACUCUCGUAGGAUGAGUUACUUUCAGCUUUGGACCCGCUGCCAGGUUUUCUCAUGCUUCAAAAAGAGCUGAUAAAUUAUCCAACAAUUUCUAAUAUUGAAAUGCCAAGAGGAGGGAGAAGAAUGAGGGAAAGAUGACAAGAGGGUGGACACACGUCAAAUGUUCAAAGAAUUUCCCUUAUUCAGGGAAAUCUUGAGUGAAAUUCUGCCUCCAAUUAAGUCAACAGACAGCUCAUUGAACUCAACAGUGCCAGGAUUUCGUCCUUGACCUACUGCUUUGAACUCUAUCCUUUAGUGCUUCCAGCAAACAGCCUGUUCCUUUCCUCCUGCCCAGCUCAGGUGCCAAUGCAUUUCCAAGCUGGCUGACACUGUUCUUUUAGGCAUACAAAAAGAAUUGCCAUGGCAAUGCAAUCUGCUAUUUAUAGGCUCCACAGCAGCCCCAAAUUAUUUUACAACCCAAGAGGACAUGACUAGUAACUGAGAUAGAUACAUUUUUGACAGGGAUCAUCUGUAACUAUGGCCAGCCUAAUUCACCUGCUACGAAAGUAAAAAGCAGACUCGAGUGAGAGCUGGGUCUGGCCCUAAAAUCAUGCAGUGUGGUCACCCAGCACCUGCAAUAGGAAGGGAAUACAGAUUUCAGCUCAGUCAUGAGAGUCAAGAUCUGUCUGCCCCUGUCCUGCAAGGGCAAAGGACAACCACACCCAGUUUGUGUGCCUCUGUGUAAAUCUGAUGGGCACUUGGUGUGUCAGAGUGAUUUCCACAGCUCAGCUGGGUGGUUCUCAUUCCGUGCUCCCAAUGGCAGAUUUUCCUGCCAGCACUAACACUGCCAAUGUGCUGUUCAGAGCAAUUCCUUUAAGAUAAUGAAUUUCAAUCUUUAAAGAUCUAUUUCCCUUCUCUAUUCCUUCCCAUUUCCAUAUUUUGAAGAUGAAAGUAUUAUGCUAUUUCAGCCUUUGUUCUUGUUUUUUUGGUGUAUUAAAUAUUUUUAGGCUCUUUUUUCUACCCACAAAAAUAAGUGCUUAUAACAC